UACAUGGGGUGCAACCGUUGCUCGGAAUUAUUGGGCGUAAAGCGCGCGUAGGCGGUUACUUAAGUCGGAUGUGAAAGCCCUCGGCUUAACUGAGGAAGUGCACCCGAAACUGAGUAGCUAGAGUACUAAAGAGGGUCGCGGAAUUCCCGGUGUAGAGGUGAAAUUCGUAGAUAUCGGGAGGAACACCGGUGGCGAAGGCGGCAUCCUGGACCAAUUCUGACGCUGAGGAGCGAAAGCCAGGGGAGCAAACGGG
rnacentral:rRNA from 1 species